GCCUCAAGUGAUGUGUGACUA
rnacentral:rRNA from 1 species